AUUGAACGCUGGCGGCAUGCUUUACACAUGCAAGUCGAACGGCAGCGCGGGCUUCGGCCUGGCGGCGAGUGGCGAACGGGUGAGUAAUGCAUCGGAACGUGCCCAGGAGUGGGGGAUAGCCCGGCGAAAGCCGGAUUAAUACCGCAUACGACCUGAGGGUGAAAGCGGGGGACCGAAAGGCCUCGCGCUAUUGGAGCUGCCGAUGUCGGAUUAGCUAGUUGGUGGGGUAAAGGCUUACCAAGGCGACGAUCCGUAGCUGGUCUGAGAGGACGACCAGCCACACUGGGACUGAGACACGGCCCAGACUCCUACGGGAGGCAGCAGUGGGGAAUUUUGGACAAUGGGGGCAACCCUGAUCCAGCCAUGCCGCGUGCGGGAAGAAGGCCUUCGGGUUGUAAACCGCUUUUGUUCGGGAAGAAAUCCUCUGGGCUAAUACCCCGGGGGGAUGACGGUACCGGAAGAAUAAGCACCGGCUAACUACGUG
rnacentral:rRNA from 1 species